UACGUAGGGGCUAGCGUUGUCCGGAAUCAUUGGGCGUAAAGAGCGUGUAGGCGGCUCGGUAAGUCCGCUGUGAAAGUCCAGGGCUCAACCCUGGAAUGCCGGUGGAAACUGUCGGGCUAGAGUCCGGAAGAGGCGAGUGGAAUUCCUGGUGUAGCGGUGAAAUGCGCAGAUAUCGGGAAGAACACCAGUGGCGAAGGCGGCUACCUGGCCUGUAACUGACGCUGAGACGCGAAAGCGUGGGGAGCGA
rnacentral:rRNA from 1 species